GCCCAGGGAGAGCUGGGAAGGCUUUUCCUGCUUUGAAUCUGUCGCGGGCGCCGUGUGUGGGGCUGCCGAGGGCUUCUGGUCUGGCUGCUGGUGGUAGUGGCAGUAGGUAUACUUAGAGGCUAAGUCAGAAUGGUGUGAUAUUCCACAAGCGCAUCCUGAGGACAAGUGCCCUGCUCCCCAGCCAGGCAGAGUCUACAGCUACCCCACCUAGGGCAGGGCCCUCUUCAUCAACGCCUCCUGCAAUUGGCCUGAGUGUGUGUGUGUGUGUGGGGGGGGUUGGGCACAGAGCUUCCUGCAGCCUGGCUCCCCCCAGCUCCACCCCCAGGGCAGGUGUGGCCCCUGGCAGGGCGGCAGGGAUGAUGAACAGCAUCACCUACGGCCAUUUAUGACCCCAUCAGCAUUUUUACAAUGUUGCUGGCAAUUAAUUUAAUUAAAGACCCUGUCCCAGAUAUGGUGA